CCUGUUUGUGUCCAUUCACCCCUUUGUCACUAGUCGCUUUGUUACUUUCUUUGUCUGUUUGCUGCGUUUGUGUUUCUGUCGUCUGUAUAUUUAACUGUGAACUAUUUCAACAGUAUGUCCCUAAAAUCAUGGCAACUUGGUAUCUGGAUGGAUCUCUGGCCAUUUUAGAGAACUCCACUACCAGCUCUCUGAACCUGGGACGACUGGACGGGUCGAUCAUCCAACCUAAAGAGAGAGAGACAGAGAUUUCCUCAACUGGACUCUUAGACGUCGAUGGUGCAGAUGGGCGGCUGCGGCAGCCGGUCUCCUCGCUCCAGCACGGCGGCGAUGUCGCUGGCCGGGAUGCCGUCGUACGGCUUGGAGCCGAACGUCAUCAGCUCCCACACAGUCACACCUGCAGGACACACAACAAACAGGAUAUAAAGGUGUUUAAAUGUUUUAGGGAAACGGUAUUUAACCAUUCAGACACACAAAGGGAUGUUGUUGUGAUAUACUGUAACUCUCCUGUUGUCCUCGGGUCAAAUUUGACCCAGUUUUCAAAAAGUUUCUAUAUAUCAGAAAUUUGGGUUUCUUUCAACCAAAUUGUCAAAAUAAAUAACGACGAUGGUUCCAUACGAUGCUCUUAACAAGUAGAAUAAAUGAUCAGUUCACUA